rnacentral:rRNA from 1 species
UACGGAGGGUGCGAUCGUUGUUGGGAAUCAUUGGGCGUAAAGCGCGUGUAGGCGGCUUGGUAAGUCGGGUGUGAAAUCCCGGGGCUCAACCCCGGAACUGCAUUCGAAACUGCCUCGCUAGAGUUCCGGAGAGGUAGGCGGAAUUCCCGGUGUAGAGGUGAAAUUCGUAGAUAUCGGGAGGAACACCAGCGGCGAAGGCGGCCUUCUGGACGGUGACUGACGCUGAGACGCGAAAGCGUGGGGAGAAAACAGG